rnacentral:rRNA from 1 species
GGGUUGGUUUGGUUGGGUGCCUCCAACCAAACACCCACCGGCCGGCCCGGCCGCCCGCGGGAGCGUCAGUGUGGUCCAUGCGGCCGGGAGGUUUUGGGCGAAAGGGAAUCCGGUUCUUAUUCCGGAACCUCCACCCGGAGACGGAAUUUGCCCCUCGCCUAAAGGUACUCCUGGUGACGGGAGGAAACUCGCUGCUGUCGGCCGCGGUCCAAGGAAGCGUUGUCUUUUCUGUUUAAGGGGGCUUGGCCCUGGAAGCUACUUGCUACGGCGAGAGGGCCUUGAUACUCCGUAGAGCGCCGCAGGUCUUACGGUGUCUUGAGUACCGCGAUCUUUUGCCGGUCCUUGAAGCAGCGAGGGAAGGGGUCAAAAUUUUCGGGG